GAGAGAGAAACACCAGUACAAGAGAGAAGCACUGAUGGGUUGUCUCGCAUUCUGGGGAAUCGGGAUCGUUAGUGCCUGGACCGGGGAUCAAACCUGCAGCCUAGUCAUGUGCCCUGAGGGGAAAUCGAACCCAGAACCUUUUGGUUACAGGAUGAUACUCCAACCAACUGAGCCACACAGACACGAGUGGCUGAGCUGUGAAGCGUGGCACCCCUGUUGGUUACCAUCCUUUUGGUAGGAGGCAGAUUGGGCAUCCAGUUUCUACCCCUGUGUGUUGGCAGGUGGCAGGCCCAGCAGAGGUGGCAGGAGCACCCAGUUAGAAUGGAUCCUCUCCCCAUACCGCUGGGCGCCUGAUCUGGCUGCAAUCCCUGUCGAUUCGAAUUUCCCAGGAUUUCUCCCUAGCCAGCUGGGGGGUGGGCUACUGUCAGUCUGAGAACUCCCAGUACCGCCUUUUUGUCAGGAAAUGAAAGGGUCAGCACCACCACAGGGAUUAAUCGUUAACCCCAGCUGACCAGUUACCUGGGCACCUGGGAAGUAAAAGUCCAUCAGAGACACACGCCCUGUGAUAAGGAAAUCCAAAGGGUGCCCGGUUAGCACUAGUGAAGGGUCUGCCAUCCACGAGGCAGGGCACUGGGAAGGCCUCUGAUUACCAUUUCUUCUCCCCGUUGAUGCCUGAAAGUUUACCAUUAACACUGGACUGGGCCUCAAAGAGAUCUCACCUCCAAGAUUUUGACUUUUUCUUCCCCCGAUUUGAGAAGCUAAUGAAAGCAGUGGAACUCACCACCUUCACCGACAGGUUUGCAUGUGGUCUUGGGGUUGGGAAUACCCCAUUCCCAGACACCAGGUGAAGAACUCCAGAGGGAAUUCAAUGGCUCCUGAGUUUCUAUUCUUUAAAAGAAGCACACUCCAGCGCCCGCUUUAAAAUGCAAAUGACCCUGGGAGGGUUGACAGGAUUAACCAGUCAGUGUGGAAGUUUGUCCAAGCAGAGGUCACAGAAGCCUAAGAGACUUAACUGGUGGGGGUGGGGAGACUUCCUGGGGGCUCACAGUUUUGCCUAGACCUGGGCAGGGAAUGAAUGCACUGAGCCAAGAGUGCUGACAGUUAACUUUAGGGCACUUACAAGAACCUCGUGAAUUAAAUGCUAUCAACAUUCCCAGUUUAUGGAUGAGGUCGGGUGACAUGCUUCCCAGCUAGUGGCAGGACAAGAAUUUGAACCCCCCCGUCCCCCAUCAGUGGCAUAGCUCAGCAUCGAGGCACAGGCUCACCUUCAUCUGCUUGGGGUUUUUUUCCACCUGCUUGUUGAAUCCUCACAAGCACAUACCAUGUUUUGAUGGGAGAGGAAAUUGGGGCCAUUCAUGGAAGGCCCCGCCCCCACGGGGCACCUCUGUGUGUCCCCUCCUCACCCAGGACAGCUGAGAGAGGGCAGCCCUCCACAAUCAACUGCCUGGAGCGGAGCGUGGAGGAGGACUUGCUGAGAAGUCUGAAGAGAGCAUUUCUCCAGACCUGUCCACACUGCCCCUAAUUGUUUUCUAAAAUACUUUUUAUUGAAUUAUCAGAGUGCAAUGGAAGAAUCGAUGAGAGUCACUGCGGAGUUACAAGGCCAGGGCUUGCUGGGCGGAGGAAAACAAAGCCCUAACAGCUCCCCGGGCCGAGCAAUGGUAUAAAAUAUGUAUUUUUACAUAACUGGGAGAAAAAAUAAACGGACACGGCUGCCCCAUGGGGGAAACGCCUCUUUCUGUAUUUCCAUUACCUUGUUUAAUGCACGGUCCAGCAGGGGCCUCAGUGGGAAAGGAACACUGGAGCCUUUUCCCUCCGAGCCUCCUGGUGGGUUAAGAGGCAGAGAAAGCCAAGAUGCAGAAAUCCAAAUGGCUUGGGCGUGUGCUCAGAAACCCAUUUACACUGAGGGGCAGGUGGGGAAACCCAUUAAAACUGAGGGGACAGACAGGUUGAGGGGGCCUGAGCUGACCCUAAAGAGUGUCUUGCUCUGAGACAUCACCUCUCCUCUGGGCUUGAGAAAGUAGCUUCAUAGGCCCAGAUUUACCUUUAAGCUCUGGGCAAAAUAUUCUAAACAUGGCCUUCCCCAUGAGAAAGGGGGUGGUCCUUUCCAAAGAACAACCUCCUCCACGCCAAACAUUUAUGGAGCUGUUGCUACUAGGUGCCGAGUACUCUGCUUCGUGAUUUUCUUGCAUUAGCGCCUAUCAGCCCACUCAUAGAUGAGAACACGGACUCACCAAGGUCGCAAGGUUAACAUUAAAGGGCAGAUUGGAAACUGCAGCCCCCGCCGGAAGGCUAGCCCGGGCCACAGGAGGUGAAGCUAACAGAGGAAAGGGCCUUAAAAUGAG